AGAUACCAGGCUUUUAGAAUGCAGCUUCUCAUUUGCUGUGUACAUAACCUUAAAAAAAAAAAAAAACCCAAAGGUUUUCCAUGUACUACUUUGUUAGUAGGCAACCUGUGGGGAACAUUU